rnacentral:rRNA from 1 species
UACGUAGGGGGCAAGCGUUGUCCGGAAUUAUUGGGCGUAAAGAGCGUGUAGGCGGCCAGAUAAGUCCGCUGUGAAAACUCGAGGCUCAACCUCGAGACGCCGAUGGAAACCGUCUGGCUAGAGUCCGGAAGAGGAGAGUGGAAUUCCCGGUGUAGCGGUGAAAUGCGCAGAUAUCGGGAAGAACACCCGUGGCGAAGGCGGCUCUCUAGUACGGUACUGACGCUGAGACGCGAAAGCGUGGGGAGCGAACAGG